rnacentral:misc_RNA from 1 species
GAUGAAGAACGUAGCGAAAUGCGAUAAGUAGUGUGAAUUGCAGAAUUCAGUGAAUCAUCGAAUCUUUGAACGCACAUUGCGGCCAUAGGUAUUCCUUUGGCCAUGCCUGUUCGAGCGUCAUUUACACCCUCAAGCCUAGCUUGGUGUUGGGCGUCUGUCCCGCCGUUCUCGCGCGCGGACUCGCCUCAAAGUCAUUGGCGGCGGUCGUGCCGGCCCCCUCGCGCAGCACAUUUGCGCUUCUCGGAGGCCCGGCGGAUCCGCGCUCCAGCAAGACCUUUCACGACUUGACCUCGGAUCAGGUAGGGAUACCCGCUGAACUUAAGCAUAUCAAUAAGCGGAGA